AUGACCUACGGGGGGCAGCAGUGGGGAAUAUUGCACAAUGGGGGAAACCCUGAUGCAGCAACGCCGCGUGAAGGAAGAAGGCUUUCGGGUUGUAAACUUCUUUUGACAGGGAAGAGUAGAAGACGGUACCUGUCGAAUAAGCCACGGCUAACUACGUGCCAGCAGCCGCGGUAAUACGUAGGUGGCAAGCGUUGUCCGGAUUUACUGGGUGUAAAGGGCGUGUAGCCGGGUUGACAAGUCAGAUGUGAAAUCCUGCGGCUUAACCGCAGAACUGCAUUUGAAACUGUUGAUCUCGAGUACUGGAG
rnacentral:rRNA from 1 species